rnacentral:lncRNA from 1 species
AGUGUUUUCCAGGACAUGCUAGUUCCAAAAGAUACUCCUUAAAAAAGAGUUCGAUAGUCAAGACGUUGCUUCCAGAAGAAGACUGUCUCAUUACUGUUACAUCUCUGGCCCUGGAGUAGCCCCUGGCAAAUAUGUACUCAGUACAUGUUUGCGAGACGCAUGGACUUGUAGAACAGUUCCACAGCUGUCCAUCACUGAUGUUCCAUACCUAGCGAUGCGGCCCCUCGAAACGCACUGGAGAGCUGGGCAGACCAAGGAUAAUUUCACAGGCUUUAGGAGACUUGCCCUCAUAUCUCAUAAUCUUCGCUCACAGGACGCUGGACAUUCAAAGAAAGAAAAAGAAGUAUAGAAAAGAGAGAAAAACGUCAAGAACUCCAGCAUAAAGUCCUCUUAAUAACGCGUCUUUUUAUAAUCAUCGGGCAAUAAAUUUCUGAAUGGACA